rnacentral:rRNA from 1 species
UACGGGGGGGGCAAGCGUUGUUCGGAAUUACUGGGCGUAAAGGGCGCGUAGGCGGCCUGCUAAGUCGGACGUGAAAUCCCUCGGCUCAACCGGGGAACUGCGUCCGAUACUGGUGGGCUCGAAUCCGGGAGAGGGAUGUGGAAUUCCAGGUGUAGCGGUGAAAUGCGUAGAUAUCUGGAGGAACACCGGUGGCGAAGGCGGCAUCCUGGACCGGUAUUGACGCUGAUGGCGCGAAAGCCAGGG